AAGACGAACCGUGCAAACGUUGUUCGGAAUCACUGGGCUUAAAGGGCGCGUAGGCGGUGUGCUAAGUCGGCGGUGAAAUACUCCGGCUCAAUCGGAGAAUUGCCGCUGAAACUAGCAUGCUGGAGGGAGGUAGAGGUGCAUGGAACUUCCGGUGGAGCGGUGAAAUGCGUUGAUAUCGGAAGGAACGCCUGUGGCGAAAGCGAUGCACUGGACCUCAUCUGACGCUGAGGCGCGAAAGCUAGGGUAGCGAACGGG
rnacentral:rRNA from 1 species